GGAGUUUGGACCGUGUCUCAGUUCCAAUGUGGGGGGACCUUCCUCUCAGAACCCCUACUGAUCGUCGCCUUGGUAGGCCGUUACCCCACCAACUAGCUAAUCAGACGCAGACCCAUCACAAAGCGAUAGCUUACAAGUAGAGGCCAUCUUUAAUCAAGCUUCCAUGCGGAAACUUGACAACAUUCGGUAUUAGCAGUCCUUUCGGACUGUUGUCCCCAUCUUUGCGGCAGGUUGUCUACGCGUUACUCACCCGUUUGCCACUCGGUUCUCAAAAGCAAGCUUUCAAUCACCUCGUUCGACUUGCAUGUGUUAAGCACGCCGCCAGCGU
rnacentral:rRNA from 1 species